AACGAACGCUGGCGGCAUGCCUAACACAUGCAAGUCGAACGAGACCUUCGGGUCUAGUGGCGCACGGGUGCGUAACGCGUGGGAACCUGCCUUUAGGUUCGGAAUAACUCAGAGAAAUUUGAGCUAAUACCGGAUAAUGUCUUCGGACCAAAGAUUUAUCGCCUUUAGAUGGGCCCGCGUAAGAUUAGCUAGUUGGUGGGGUAAAGGCCUACCAAGGCGACGAUCUUUAGCUGGUCUGAGAGGAUGAUCAGCCACACUGGGACUGAGACACGGCCCAGACUCCUACGGGAGGCAGCAGUGGGGAAUAUUGGACAAUGGGGGCGAACCCUGAUCCAGCAAUGCCGCGUGAGUGAUGAAGGCCUUAGGGUUGUAAAGCACUUUGUCAGGAACGAAACGGUACUGGGCUAAUAUCCUGGGCUAAUGACGGUACCUGAAGAAUAAGCACCGGCUAACUACGUGCCAGCAGCCGCGGUAAU
rnacentral:rRNA from 1 species